ACGGAAGCCGUGAGGAACCUUUUCUUCUGCACUUCUUCACCGGCAGCAUGGCAGGAGACAUGAACCUCCGUGCCCUCUUUCAGUGUUUUCUCCGAACUUUACCUCAUGGCGGUACAGGUGACCCGAGUGAGUCAGUCUGGCUGAAAGAAAGCGAGCAGGCCACCUGAGAGAAGGCGCACAGUCACAUGGAGGUAAUGUUGGAGUCCUACACCUUGAUGAUUGGUUGAGAUGAAGAAAGAUGAAGACGUCUCUCACUGGAUAAGAGCAAACUUCAAGCUUGCCCAGAUGAGAAAGCAGAGAUUAAUUGGUGCAGAUUGAAGACCCUGGAUCUGCCUGAAUCCAAUCCCAAAGGAUGAGUGCAGAGAUUUUAGUCAAAUACCUUUUGCCAGGUAAGAACGAAAGGACUGAAAACUUCAAAGAUCCGAGCUUCUAAGAUUGAAGUUCCUAUUGACAAGGACCUCGCUGAGUUUGAGAGCAGAUUCACGACUCAACAAAUGUGAAAGUCGGCUCUUCAACGACGGGUGAUCAAGCCAUUUUUUUAAAAAAAG